rnacentral:tRNA from 1 species
GGGAUAUUAUGUAUAGGGUUGUACAGUUUGAUUGCAGAUCAUAUUCAUGAGGUUCAACUCCUCAAUAUCUCU